rnacentral:rRNA from 1 species
GAAACACCUUAUUUGAUUUUCUUCGGAACUGAAGAUUUGGUGAUUGAGUGGCGGACGGGUGAGUAACGCGUGGGUAACCUGCCCUGUACAGGGGGAUAACAGUCAGAAGUGACUGCUAAUACCGCAUAAGACCACAGCACCGCAUGGUGCAGGGGUAAAAACUCCGGUGGUACAGGAUGGACCCGCGUCUGAUUAGCUGGUUGGUGAGGUAACGGCUCACCAAGGCGACGAUCAGUAGCCGGCUUGAGAGAGUGAACGGCCACAUUGGGACUGAGACACGGCCCAAACUCCUACGGGAGGCAGCAGUGGGGAAUAUUGCACAAUGGGGGAAACCCUGAUGCAGCGACGCCGCGUGAGUGAAGAAGUAUCUCGGUAUGUAAAGCUCUAUCAGCAGGGAAGAAAAUGACGGUACCUGACUAAGAAGCCCCGGCUAACUACGUGCCAGCAGCCGCGGUAAUACGUAGGGGGCAAGCGUUAUCCGGAAUUACUGGGUGUAAAGGGUGCGUAGGUGGUAUGGCAAGUCAGAAGUGAAAACCCAGGGCUUAACUCUGGGACUGCUUUUGAAACUGUCAGACUGGAGUGCAGGAGAGGUAAGCGGAAUUCCUAGUGUAGCGGUGAAAUGCGUAGAUAUUAGGAGGAACAUCAGUGGCGAAGGCGGCUUACUGGACUGAAACUGACACUGAGGCACGAAAGCGUGGGGAGCAAA